rnacentral:rRNA from 1 species
AAUAGAUACCCAGGUAGUCCACGCCGUAAACGGUGGGCACUAGGUGUGGGCGACAUUCCACGUCGUCCGUGCCGCAGCUAACGCAUUAAGUGCCCCGCCUGGGGAGUACGGCCGCAAGGCUAAAACUCAAAGGAAUUGACGGGAGCCCGCACAAGCGGCGGAGCAUGUGGCUUAAUUCGACGCAACGCGAAGAACCUUACCAAGGCUUGACAUACACCGGAAACGUCCAGAGAUGGGCGCCCCCUUGUGGUCGGUGUACAGGUGGUGCAUGGCUGUCGUCAGCUCGUGUCGUGAGAUGUUGGGUUAAGUCCCGCAACGAGCGCAACCCUUGUCCCGUGUUGCCAGCAGGCCCUUGUGGUGCUGGGGACUCACGGGAGACCGCCGGGGUCAACUCGGAGGAAGGUGGGGACGACGUCAAGUCAUCAUGCCCCUUAUGUCUUGGGCUGCACACGUGCUACAAUGGCCGGUACAAUGAGCUGCGAUACCGCGAGGUGGAGCGAAUCUCAAAAAGCCGGUCUCGAGUUCGGAUUGGGGU